rnacentral:sRNA from 1 species
UUUCGCGCUGGCAUAGCGCGCCGGGGCGUCUUCGAACUCGACGAGCACCCGGGCGCCCAGGAUCGGUCCCAGCCCGGGCUGG